GCGGCAACAGCUCAAAUUUGAAAUCUGGCUUUCGGGCCCGAGUUGUAAUUUGUAGAGGAUACUUUUGAUGCGGUGCCUUCCGAGUUCCCUGGAACGGGACGCCAUAGAGGGUGAGAGCCCCGUCUGGUUGGAUGCCAAAUCUCUGUAAAGUUCCUUCGACGAGUCGAGUAGUUUGGGAAUGCUGCUCUAAAUGGGAGGUAUAUGUCUUCUAAAGCUAAAUAUUGGCCAGAGACCGAUAGCGCACAAGUAGAGUGAUCGAAAGAUGAAAAGCACUUUGAAAAGAGAGUUAAAAAGUACGUGAAAUUGUUGAAAGGGAAGCGUUUAUGACCAGACUUGGACUUGGUUAAUCAUCUGGGGUUCUCCCCAGUGCACUUUUCCAGUUCAGGCCAGCAUCAGUUUUCGCCGGGGGAUAAAGGCUUCGGGAAUGUAGCUCUCUUCGGGGAGUGUUAUAGCCCGUUGUGUAAUACCCUGGCGGAGACUGAGGUUCGCGCUUCUGCAAGGAUGCUGGCGUAAUGGUCAUCAACGACCCGUCUUGAAACACGGACCAAGGAGUCGUCUUCGUAUGCGAGUGUUCGGGUGUCAAACCCCUACGCGUAAUGAAAGUGAACGCAGGUGAGAGCUUCGGCGCAUCAUCGACCGAUCCUGAUGUUCUCGGAUGGAUUUGAGUAAGAGCAUACGGGGCCGGACCCGAAAGAAGGUGAACUAUGCCUGUAUAGGGUGAAGCCAGAGGAAACUCUGGUGGAGGCUCGCAGCGGUUCUGACGUGCAAAUCGAUCGUCAAAUAUGGGCAUGGGGGCGAAAGACUAAUCGAACCUUCUAGUAGCUGGUUUCCGCCGAAGUUUCCCUCAGGAUAGCAGUGUUGAACUCAGUUUUAUGAGGUAAAGCGAAUGAUUAGGGACUCGGGGGCGCUAUAUUGCCUUCAUCCAUUCUCAAACUUUAANUAUGUAAGAAGCCCUUGUUGCUUAAUUGAACGUGGGCAUUCGAAUGUAUCAACACUAGUGGGCCAUUUUUGGUAAGCAGAACUGGCGAUGCGG
rnacentral:rRNA from 1 species